AUUAUUGCAAAUGAAUCCUUAAAAUUUAAAAAAUUUUGAAAUCAUUAAAAAUACGAAGAACGUCGAAAGUAUAAGAUUCAGAUUAGAAGUUUGGAUUAGCGUAUUGACGUCUUGGAUUUGGUUUAAUAGAAAUAUUGCGGAGAAAAAAAUUGCUGCAGAAUCAACUCAUUGUUAAUAUUGCGACUUGUUACGGUACGACUUAUUUUUGUUUGCACAAUUGUGAAUUGCAAUUUUUCAAUGAAUGAAAUAUUUAUUCGUACAACAACAACGAGAUCAUUGAAACCAUGAAAGACGUGACAAAGAAGUUAGUUUACAUCGAACGGUAGCGUGCUUGUGUCAGGAAACACUUGCGUUGCAUGGUAACGAGAGAGUGCUUUGUUCAGAGGUUUCUAAAUGCACGAUACGUAAAGUAUGUUUUACAAGACGAAUCUAUUUGCAUUUUGUGCUAGAAAAUGAAAAGAAUUCCUAUCACGUUGUUGCUCGAAUUGAUGAUAUCCUGUAGACCACUGUGAAUGUGAAUAACAAGGAAGAUUUACUUAUUCUAUAAGUGAUCUUUUGGGAAACAUCAAAACUAAAAUACUCCGUCUAAAAAUAUGGAUUAUAAGUUUGUAACGAGCUGAUACGAAGAAAAAACUAAUCGAUGAUCUCUGAAUGUUCGAUGAAGAGGAAUUAUGUAGGAAGUUACUGAUUGCGACUUCUCGAGGAUAUAUCACGCAACUAUAUGAAAAUUACCAACUGAAAUCCGUCGAUAAAAGAAAUUACAUUAUCCCAUAGCAAAUCACCGACUGCGAUCCAUCGUUAAUACAAAAUGUUACAUACCGAAUGCUUUACCAUUAGUGUCGAUAAUAAUUUCAUUAUCGACCAGUAUAUUACAUAAGUCACUAAAAAGUGACAUCUAACAAAGUGGAGGAUGCUGGUCUGACUAUAAUUCAAAAAGCUGGUAUCUCUUGUUGCCUUAGAUGACCGAUUUUAUGCAAAGGAUUAUGUGAAGAAAAUAAUAUCUUAUCAACGUGUUAUCAAUACUGUAGUGGACAAAAUGAUAUGUGUAGUUCACUUCAUUUUUAGAUAGAUUUUUCUUUUCUUUUUCUUUUUAUAGAUGAUACAGUAUGAAUAAGAGCAUUAUCCUGUUGAAAUUAAAAUGAUAAUAUUUCAUCAUGUUCUUGAAGGUAAGGGAACGAAUGUGGCUUCUGAAACUUCUUAAUAUCCGUUAUUAUUCAUCCUUGUUGCGAUCGAAGCGAUUUGGAGUUUCUAAGAUUUCAAAGUUCCCCGUGCAAUUAUAUAAAAUAAAUAUAUAACUACGCAAAGUAUAUAACCUUACGAUUUAUUUGUGAAAUUCUUUAAUUCGAUAAGAAUCGAAUUAUCAUAGAGUUGUCGAUAAAGAUAAGCUCAGGAAUGAAUGGUUUUAUGUACACUAUCGUUUGUUCUUCCGCCGGCUAAUUCUAGACACGUGUAACUACAAUAUUCUGAGCUGAUCCAGCGGAAAUUGAAUCCGAUGAUUUCAUAUGCACUCAUGAUUUUUUAACGACGAGUUAAUUAUAACUCUUGGAAGAUGAGAGAUCUCUCUGCUUUAUUAUGUUUUAGAGUAACGUACGAUAAAAAAAUUAUCUGUUAAAUUACCGCUCGAUAUCAAGGUAUUAUACAACUCUAUUCUCAUUUAUAUUUCAUUGACUAAAUUGUUUUGUCAUUUGUAUACCUUUUUUAUUUCUUCCUUUUUCUUACUCGGGGAUUUUUUUGAAUUCAACUAAAUAAAUGGUAUGAAACCCCAACAUAGCAAAUUAAUCUAUAAAUAUGUUUAAAUCUGUCUGAAAUUAACGAUUAUUGAUGAUUUGAUAAGAAGAAUUAGAAAAAAAAAUAAACGAAUUAUUAAUCAACUCCGCGAACAAAUGAAUACAAAAUCAUUAAUAAGAAAAUUUCUUAUCUAUUUCUUAUCGAUCUAUCGAUCGUCUGUGUACAGAACUAUUAAAUAUUGAACUUACAUCAGUAUUGCGACAACGUUACCAAAGAACCCUAAUUUCUCCUUAAAGUUUUGUCCAUUUUAUGCGUACACAACAAAAUUUAUUUAAUAAAGAACAAAAUCUUAAAAAAGUAAAAGAAAAAAAAUCCCCGAAUAUAUCUCUAUACGAUUGAUAUUUUAAUGAGUUGUUUCCAUUUGAUACUAGCAUGAUACAGCAAAUACUUAUUGUGAAAUAUUGAUACUCUAUAAUAAGCAAGUAAUGCUUAUUUAUUAAUUAUAAUGAUCAUCUUCUAUCAAAGCACAUGGCACAUUUAUGUGUGAAUUAUAAUGACGUAAGAUACAUAAUUACGUAGAAUCUUAGUAAUAUAACAUCAUCUCUUCGAGCAUCUUCCGAUAAACGAGUUAAUUUGAAAAAGAAAUCUUUUUUGAUUACAACAGAAA